ACUGCUCAGUAACACGUCGUUAACCUGCCCUAAAGUCCUGGAUAACCUUGGGAAACUGAGGCUAAUAUGGGAUAGGGGAAGGAUUCUGGAAUGAACCUUCCUGCAAAGGCAACGCUUUAGGAUGGGACGGCGGCCGAUUAGGUUGUUGGCGGGGUAACGGCCCACCAAGCCGGAGAUCGGUAGGGGCCUUGAGAGAGGUAGCCCCGAGAAGGGAACUUAGACACUGUCCCUAGCCCUACGGGGUGCAGCAGGCGCGAAACCUUUACACUACACGAAAGUGUGAUAAGGGGAUCCCAAGUGCUUAUGUUUAACAUAGGCUUUUGCCAAGAGUAAGUAUCUUGGCGAAUAAGUGGUGGGCAAGACUGGUGCCAGCCGCCGCGGUAACCCCAGCGCCACAAGUGGUAGCCAGUUUUAUUGGGCCUAAAGCGUCCGUAGCCGGCUCGGUCUAUCUCCUGUGAAAUUGCCUGGCUUAACUAGGCAACGUGCAGGAGACACUGCCGAGCUUGGGACCGGAAGGAGUCAGAGGUAUGCUCGGGGGAGCGGUAAAAUGCUAUAAUCCCGAGUGGACCACCUGUGGCGAAGGCGUCUGACUAGGACGGAUCCGACGGUGAGGGACGAAAGCCAGGGGAGCAAUCCGGAUUAGAUACCCGAGUAGUCCUGGCUGUAAACGCUGCGAGCUAGGUGUCGCGCAUUCCCCGAGAAUGCGCGGUGUCGGAGCGAAGGCGUUAAGCUCGCCGCCUGGGAAGUAUGGCCGCAAGGCUGAAACUUAAAGGAAUUGGCGGGGGAG
rnacentral:rRNA from 1 species